AGAUUCGUCCAUUGGUCAGGCUUAACUGUCUGUACUGAUGUUUCGGAUUUCUACCUUCUGAAGAACCUUCAUGCCAUUAAUUUGGUGUGUUGGGGAAUCAGGACUGUUACUUUGAAAAAAUUAGAGUGUUUAAAGCAGGCUAACGUCUGAAUACAUUAGCAUGGAAUAAUGAAAUAGGACGGUACGGUUCUAUUUUGUUGGUUUCUAGGAUCGCCGUAAUGAUUAAUAGGGAUAGUUG
rnacentral:rRNA from 1 species